rnacentral:lncRNA from 1 species
UUUCUUCAAAAUCAAGUAAGAUAUCAAAUCUCUCUAUUUCUAAAAUCAUGAACUACAUCUUGUAGAUCUUUUUGCCAUGAGCUUACUGUGCUUUGAAUCGAAGGAAACGGUUGAGAAUCGAGAAAGAAAUUUGAAAUCCAAAUUUGAUGUUCAUUUACAUUUUUACUUGAUUUGUCCAUUUUAGCAUGAUUUGGGAUUAAUGGAGUUUGGUUUAGGUUUGAACAUGUUUAGAUGCACAUAUUGGUGUUUUUACAUUUUAAUUUGAAAAAAAAAAAAAAAAAAAAAAAUUCAACCUGGUUGUUACUGUAAUGUGUUUAUGCU